ensembl:lncRNA
AGGCCAGAAAUAAAAUACAAACACUUAGUACUGUCUGAGGUCUGCUCUAGGUACAGAUGUUUAAACAAAUCUCCAUCAGGUCUGAGGUCUGCUCAAGGUACAGAUGUUUAAAUAAAUCUCCAUCAGGUCUGAGGUCUGCUCUAGGUACAGAUGUUUAAAUAAAUCUCCACCAGGUCUGAGGUCUGCUCUAGGUACAGAUGUUUAAAUAAAUCUCCAUCAGGAAUUGAAUCAUUCUAGGGCAGAAGUAGAAUUGAGUAGCCCUUGGUUCACAACAGAAAUGUCAUUCAAGUAAGUAAGGGCUAAAAUUCUUAGCAUUUUUUGGAAAUGUGAGUUUCAGGGCACUCUAAAUUAAGGAAGACAGGAAAAGAGAAUGCAGUUACUCAUCAUUUGACACAAAUUUAAAUUGAGACAUCAAUGAAUUCAUGAGUAUUCACUAUUUUUGUAAUGGUUAAUGACACAAUAAUAUCUACCUAUGUGCUUUUAAGCCCCA